GACGAACGCUGGCGGCGUGCUUAACACAUGCAAGUCGAACGGAAAGGCCCUGCUUGCAGGGUACUCGAGUGGCGAACGGGUGAGUAACACGUGGGUGAUCUGCCCUGCACUUCGGGAUAAGCCUGGGAAACUGGGUCUAAUACCGGAUAGGAGCCAUUUUUAGUGUGAUGGUUGGAAAGUUUUUUCGGUGUAGGAUGAGCUCGCGGCCUAUCAGCUUGUUGGUGGGGUAAUGGCCUACCAAGGCGGCGACGGGUAGCCGGCCUGAGAGGGUGGACGGCCACAUUGGGACUGAGAUACGGCCCAGACUCCUACGGGAGGCAGCAGUGGGGAAGAUUGCACAAUGGGCGCAAGCCUGAUGCAGCGACGCCGCGGGGGGGAUGACGGCCUUCGGGUUGUAAACUCCUUUCGCUAGGGACGAAGCUUUUUGUGACGGUACCUAGAGAAGAAGCACCGGCUAACUACGUG
rnacentral:rRNA from 1 species